CCUCCCGUUCUUGACACGCCUGCGUCUGCCCGUGGCCUGUGCGUGUGUUUGCGGAGGGAGAGCAAACUCCGCCAAGUCUUCGGUGCCAGCGGGCCGCCGUCUCCUGGUCCUAUCCUCGUCGGCUGAGACACUU